rnacentral:rRNA from 1 species
CAGGUGCUGCAUGGCUGUCGUCAGCUCGUGUCGUGAGAUGUAGGGUUAAGUCCCGCAACGAGCGCAACCCUUGUCUUUAGUUACCAUCAUUAAGUUGGGGACUCUAGAGAGACUGCCGGUGAUAAACCGGAGGAAGCGGGAUGACGUCAAAUCAUCAUGCCCUUAUGGCCUGGGCUACAAACGUAAUACAAUGGCGUAUACAAAGGGAUGCGAAAGAGCGAUCUGGAGCAAAACUCAUAAAGUACGUCUCAGUUCGGAUUGAAGUCUGCAACUCGACUUCAUGAAGCUGGAAUCGCUAGUAAUCGCGGAUCAGCAUGCCGCGGUGAAUACGUUCUCGGGGUUU